rnacentral:lncRNA from 10 species
GACAGAGUCUCACUCUUCACUCGGGCUGCAGUGCAGUGGAGCAAUAGUUGCUCACUGUAACCUCAAACUCCUGGGCCUAAGCAAUCCUCUGGCCUCAGCUUCCUGAAUGACUAGGACCACAGAAAUGAUUCUCAUGUAAUUCAUGAUCACACUGUCUUCCUGAAUGCCCUAUAAUUGGCGCCCAGCUUUUCCAGUUUGUAUGCAUCUCAUUCAGAAUUUUGUGACUUCCAUCACUUUUCCGAGAGGUAGCCCAGAGUGCUUUGGAUGAUGUAUGGCUGCUCCUCACUGUGGCUGGGACAGAAUGCUGCCACUGGAGUGGCUAUCACCUUGGAAUGAGCCUUUGUUUGCCAUCCCUCACUUGGGUUUUCACAGACCAUGACCAUCAUUGCUAGCUCCCACACACUUGCUUUGGUGGGCUUCCUUCUGACACUUGAAGGCUUGUAUGCUCUCAGAUCUGUGCCAUGCCAGAGAUCCAGAGAACUUAUAAGUCAUUUCUUAAGUCCUCCCAGUUGAGAUUAAUGUGAAUACGUUAACAGUUUGGGGGUGAGGUCUGGCAAUUAGAAGUUUUUAAAAGCCUGGCCUAUGAUAUGUCCUUGCUGUUAUUGUUAUUAAUUUAUGUGGUUUUGUCAGAUUUUGGUCUAUUUGCUGAAUUUCCCUACCUUCCACAUCCUUCAAAACUUAAGAAACAAAUAAAAAUAAGCAUAA